rnacentral:lncRNA from 1 species
CUUCCAGGAGAGAACGGAGAGCCAGUGUGCUGUGUGUCACGGUCCCUGGAUGAACGUUUGUGGAACUGGAUUGAAUUAAACAAGACGUGCAAAGCAAGUGGUUCACGAGAUUCGAUUGCUGUAGGGACCCCGUGGGUGUGGAAUCAGACAGUAUUGGUCCUUUCAUGACUGGCUUAUUUCACAAAACCCGAUGCCGUCGAGGUCCAUCCAUGCUGAGCCAUCAUCCGCUGGUGCUUUAAGGGACUCUCUCCCGUCCCCACCCUAUUCUCAGGUGGCUCCUACCGACACCACCUAAUGGUGAACCCCAACACGAGGACACAGGCAGUGCCCUCUCAGGACCACUGUGGGUGCCACCAGGCACGACUUCCUAAACACCCACAGAGCAAAAACCUGGAAAUUCAGCCGAGGCACUGGGACCCCAACCUCUCCCAGAGUGGCCCCAGCUCCACGGCGUCUGCAUGGCUCUGGCCGUGAGCAGAGCAGCCCCGACCUCCGUCCUGACCCAGGGCGCCGGAGCGCCACUGCGGAUCUCACCACCACACAAGCCAGACCUGCUAGGAAGCCCUUCCCGGCCACCAGCUCUCGGGCGAUGCACACAACAGGGCCUUUUGAAUUCCCUGAGGUUAAGGUUCCCCUUGAGUCUCCUGGGCUACAAGCAAAUCCCCCGAGGGGAGAAGUCCAGGCUGACACAGCCUCCUGCACCCCUGCCUUGGGAGGCCACACCUCGUUUGCCUCUAGAACCGACGACUGGGGAGCACUGUUUGCAGAGUUCUCUCUCUCUGGGUAAGUUCCGGAGCCACAUCUCACUGGAUCCACCACGGCCUGGGUGGACGGCUCUCGUGUGUUUAUAGCUGGGUCCCUCGCUUGGGAGCUGCCUCCGGGUGGGCGGCCUCUCCAGCCUGUUUGAGUGCUCCACCCGGAGCAGGAAGAGGGCCGUGUGCUCUGGGCAGUGGUUCCUUGGGCACUGCAUGGUCCUUGCUUCCCUCCAGGGCCCA